rnacentral:rRNA from 1 species
GCUUUCUGUAUGGGUUGAAGUCGUACCGUAAGGAGCGGUGGACUGUACAGAAGUGAGAAUGCUGGCAUAAGUAGCGAGAAAUAAGUGAGAAUCUUAUUGGCCGAAAACCUAAGGUUUCCUGAGGAAGGUUCGUCCGCUCAGGGUUAGUCGGGACCUAAGCCGAGGCCGAAAGGCGUAGGUGAUGGACAAUCGGUUGAUAUUCCGAUACCACCUAUUUACGUUUGAGAAAUGGGGUGACGCAGUAGGAUAAGAUGUGCGCACUAUUGGAUGUGCGUCUAAGCACUUAGGCAUGCUUGAUAGGCAAAUCCGUCGAGCUAAGCUGAGGUGUGAUGGGGAGCCAUUUAUGGCGAAGUAUCUGAUUCCACACUGCCAAGAAAAGCCUCUAUCGAGUGAAUAGGUGCCCGUACCGCAAACCGACACAGGUAGGUGAGGAGAGAAUCCUAAGGCCAUCGGAAGAAUUGCUGUUAAGGAACUCGGCAAAUUGACCCCGUAACUUCGGGAGAAGGGGUGCCUACGAAAGUAGGCCGCAGAGAAUAGGCCCAAGCAACUGUUUAGCAAAAACACAGGUCUCUGCUAAAGCGAAAGCUGAUGUAUAGGGGCUGACGCCUGCCCGGUGCUGGAAGGUUAAGGGGAACACUUAGCGUAAGCGAAGGUGUGAACUUAAGCCCCAGUAAACGGCGGCCGUAACUAUAACGGUCCUAAGGUAGCGAAAUUCCUUGUCGGGUAAGUUCCGACCCGCACGAAUGGCGUAAUGAUUUGGGCACUGUCUCAACAGCAAAUCCGGCGAAAUUGUAGUGCAAGUGAAGAUGCUUGCUACCCGCGAUUGGACGGAAAGACCCCGUAGAGCUUUACUGUAGCUUAGCAUUGAAUCUCGGUAUUGUCUGUACAGGAUAGGUGGGAGACUUGGAAACUUGGGCGUCAGCCUGAGUGGAGUCAUCCUUGGGAUACCACCCUGACAGUACUGGGGUUCUAACCGGCGGCCAUGAAUCUGGUCACGGGACAUUGUUAGGUGGGCAGUUUGACUGGGGCGGUCGCCUCCUAAAAAGUAACGGAGGCGCCCAAAAGUUCCCUCAGCGCGGUCGGAAAUCGCGCGAAGAGUGCAAAGGCAGAAGGGAGCUUGACUGCGACACAUACAGGUGGAGCAGGGACGAAAGUCGGGCUUAGUGAUCCGGUGGUACCUCGUGGGAGGGCCAUCGCUCAACGGAUAAAAGCUACCUCGGGGAUAACAGGCUGAUCUCCCCCAAGAGUCCACAUCGACGGGGAGGUUUGGCACCUCGAUGUCGGCUCGUCGCAUCCUGGGGCUGAAGUAGGUCCCAAGGGUUGGGCUGUUCGCCCAUUAAAGCGGCACGCGAGCUGGGUUCAGAACGUCGUGAGACAGUUCGGUCCCUAUCCGUCGCGGGCGUAGGAAAUUUGAGAGGAGCUGUCCUUAGUACGAGAGGACCGGGAUGGACCAACCUCUGGUGCACCAGUUGUCACGCCAGUGGCACAGCUGGGUAGCUAUGUUGGGACUGGAUAAACGCUGAAAGCAUCUAAGCGUGAAGCCAACCUCAAGAUGAGAUUUCCCAUAGCGUAAGCUAGU